UACGUAGGGGGCUAGCGUUGUCCGGAAUCAUUGGGCGUAAAGAGCGUGUAGGCGGCUUGGUAAGUCCGCUGUGAAAGUCCAGGGCUUAACCCUGGAAAGCCAGUGGAAACUGUCAAGCUAGAGUCCGGAAGAGGAGAGUGGAAUUCCUGGUGUAGCGGUGAAAUGCGCAGAUAUCAGGAAGAACACCCGUGGCUAAGGCGGCUCUCUAGUACGGUACUGACGCUGAGACGCGAAAGCGUGGGGAGCGAACAGG
rnacentral:rRNA from 1 species